GUGUCAGCAGCCGCGGUAAGACGAACCGUGCGAACGUUGUUCGGAAUCACUGGGCUUAAAGGGCGCGUAGGCGGGCGACCAAGUCAGGGGUGAAAUCUUUCGGCUUAACCGGAAAAUAGCCUCUGAUACUGGUUGUCUUGAGGGAGGUAGGGGUCUGUGGAACUUCUGGUGGAGCGGUGAAAUGCGUAGAUAUCAGAAGGAACGCCGGUGGCGAAAGCGACGGACUGGACCUCAUCUGACGCUGAGGCGCGAAAGCUAGGGGAGCAAACGGGAUUAGAAACCCGCGUAGUCC
rnacentral:rRNA from 1 species